rnacentral:rRNA from 1 species
GACGAACGCUGGCGGCGUGCUUAACACAUGCAAGUCGAACGGUGAAGCGCCUUCCUUUUUGGUGGGUGUGGAUGAGUGGCGAACGGGUGAGUAACACGUGAGUAACCUGCCCCCUUCUUCUGGAUAACCGCAUGAAAGUGUUGCUAAUACGGGAUAUUCUGGGUCUGUCGCAUGAUGGGUCUGGGAAAGAUAUUGUUUCGGUGGGGGAUGGGCUCGCGGCCUAUCAGCUUGUUGGUGGGGUGAUGGCCUACCAAGGCGGUGACGGGUAGCCGGCCUGAGAGGGUGGACGGUCACACUGGGACUGAGACACGGCCCAGACUCCUACGGGAGGCAGCAGUGGGGAAUAUUGCACAAUGGGCGCAAGGCUGAUGCAGCGACGCCGCGUGAGGGAUGGAGGCCUUCGGGUUGUGAACCUCUUUCGCCAGUGAAGCAGGCCUGCCUCGUUUGUGGGUGGGUUGACGGUAGCUGGAUAAGAAGCGCCGGCUAACUACGUG